rnacentral:miRNA from 1 species
UCACGUCGGGUUCACC